CCUACGGGUGGCAGCAGUGGGGAAUAUUGCACAAUGGGGGGAACCCUGAUGCAGCGACGCCGCGUGAGUGAAGAAGUAUUUCGGUAUGUAAAGCUCUAUCAGCAGGGAAGAAAAUGACGGUACCUGACUAAGAAGCCCCGGCUAACUACGUGCCAGCAGCCGCGGUAAUACGUAGGGGGCAAGCGUUAUCCGGAUUUACUGGGUGUAAAGGGAGCGUAGACGGCAGCACAAGUCUGGAGUGAAAUGCCGGGGCUUAACCCCGGAACUGCUUUGGAAACUGUGCAGCUAGAGUGCAGGAGAGGUAAGUGGAAUUCCUAGGGUAGCGGUGAAAUGCGUAGAUAUUAGGAGGAACACCAGUGGCGAAGGCGGCUUAAUGGACUGUAACUGACGUUGAGGCUCGAAAGCGUGGGGAGCAAACAGGAUUAGAUACCCUAGUAGUC
rnacentral:rRNA from 1 species